CUAUAGCUCUGGAGUUUUUGCAGAUUUUCAAAUAAAACUCAGAGAUUCCUUGUAUGACUCUCUAAAUCUCUCUUUUGUGGUAUUUCUGGAUCCUUACCAAAGCAUUGGUGGUAUAUGCCUUCUCUCAAGAUAUGUGUUAUUUGUGGUAUAAGGCAUAGUGACAUUGCCUUCUCUCUCACCCUACUCUAAUAAGGCUUUAAUAUCUGGAGCUCAUAGGUGGAAGAUAAAGUAUACAUACUUACAAGACAUUUAUUGUAUAGUCAAACCAUGGAUCCAAAGAAACAAAUCAAUAAGCCAAAUCAAGAUGUGCAUGUGUGGCGAAUGAAUGGUGUAUGGUGAUGAUGGUGAUAACAAUGGUGAAAGUCUAAUUCUACUUUUGCUCUUUUGAGGGGAUACAUACCUUCCUUGCUUUUUGAAACUUUAUGAGGAGAAUGAGAUGCUCUAUCUUUUCUUUUUCUUUUCUCUCAGGUGGGUAUCCUGUACCCCUAAUUCUACUGUCGGACACUUGUCCAUUUUUACCUCUCGUCUCACUCUUUUUCUUUUCUUUCGAGGUUCCGAGCACUUGCCCCUUUUUAUUUCCUCGUAUAUUUUUUUCUCUCCUUUUUUUAGAGCACUCAUCUCAUGAGAUAAUAUAGCAAGUGGUAGUAACAAGAUAACUUGAGAAUUUAUUUCACAAGGAAAAACAGAAAUAUUUUUGGUUAUUCUCUCCCGGAUUAGGAGUAGAAUAUUUUUGGGUGGUUCUGGAGAUGGAAAUGAGUGGAUAUAUGUGGAUGGUACUUUCGGAGUAGAAGUAGCAUAUAUGAGUGAAUGUGCAAGUGAAAUCUUGAUUUAACCACAUGACAAGCUCCUAAGGGUCUACACAGCUUGACUACACUCAAUGCUCAUAAGGAGUAAAUAGUAAAUGUGUGGCUCAAAGUCUAGCAAGCAUGUAUAUAUGGCUGUGGUAGGAAUUUAAAAUUUCAUCAUACAGGAACUCAUCAUGCAAUAUUUUAAAGAUUUUUCAAAGAUAAAAUUCUCCAGAAUUCUAGUGUCUCUAGGAACAGAUAAACAACAGCUCAACCUUCCCAUAUCAUCUCCGUUAACAACUUAGAUUUCAGAUCAAGUUUUCAUCCCACAUGUUUAGAUCUAGAGCAAGCUUUAAAUUAUAACAGGUAUUUCUAAACUUGAGAGAGAACUUCAAAUUUGCAAAUAAUAUCCAUGCUAGAGUUUUAUUAUUAAGAUUCAGAUUAGCAUAGCCACUUUAUUUAUUAAACACGGUAUAUAUAUAUAAGCACAAAAUCUUUAUUUGGUUUUUCAUAGUUUAUAUAUUUUAAUAUUCUAAUAUAAUAUAAGUAUAAAGAUAGGUAGAAAUACUUAGCGAGAUAAAUGAGGGUGCUCUCCCCCAAGCUGAAUUUUGACGUAAUUUCUCUUGAUGUAGCUAGCAGGUGGCAGAGCUGUAUUUGAAAGUCAGCAGCAUUCUGACAGCGAUUAGAAUAUCCUCCGUCUGCUAGUCUUCUUGAUUCUUAAAUUCUGUGGAGCUCAAAUAGACAACAAAGCUUGUGGAACUAAUUAAGUGUUAGCAUAAAUAUCUAGCCUUCAUCACGUUGAGCUUCCUCAAUAAAUAUUACUCCCUGUUUUUUAUUUAUAUUUUAUAAAGCAGAAAAGAAAUAUUUAUUUUAUUUUUAUGCCACCACAGUGAAGGUACUUAUGGGUUUUAUGCCACUCGUAUACUCACAUGGGGCUUAGUAUUUUUUUAACAUUUUUAUUUUCUUUUCAAGAUAGCAUGAUUAACUAAUAAUCUAUUUAUGGAAAGUAAAUAAUUAAAGGGAAAAGGGAAUGCAGAAAGGAUAAAUAUGAAUAACUACUGAUCUUACCUUUCGGCAAGGGUUCAAUGUUUUAAGUCUUCUUAACAAGACUUCUCACCGUGUUCAUUCUUCAGGUGCGUCAUUUGAUUCAGGUGCGGACCUUGACAUCUGCACCUCUUGAUACGGUGUCACCCAUGUUCUUCGUUUGCCCAGCAGUUCGAAGUGCGGCGUUGGCAGUAUCUUGCUCAGUGUGUUUGUGCUCGUAGAUCCAGGUCCUUCACUUGGUAGAGUCUGAGAGUUAUAAAACUCCUCCGUGUUUUGCUCGAAGUGUACCUGCUCAUAGAGAUAAGACAGAGAUCAAGUGCAUGGGUCCUGUUGGUGGAAAACACCAACAGAACUAAAAGUGUAUUUGUUCUUCUCUAACCUUAAGCAUGGUGAGCAAGACAAUGUUGAUGAAUGAUAAGUUCAUGAGUGUAGUAUUUAAAACAUUUAUCAGAUCAGAUCGCUCAACCUUAUGGAGAGAUAAUCUAUCUAUGUAUAUGCCUUUUUCUUUAUAUCUUCCCAAAGAUUAAAUGUGUAACAUUUUAGCUCAUAUGGUUAGG
rnacentral:lncRNA from 1 species